UUUAAUGGCCGCGGUACCUUGACCGUGCUAAGGUAGCAUAAUCAGUUGACUUUUAAAUGGAGUCUGGAAUGAACGGGUAAACGGGAUUAAGCUGUCUCUAUUAUUAUAUUUUUAAUUUACUAAUUAGGUGAAAAGGCCUAAAAAUGCAAAAAGACGAGAAGACCCUUAGAGUUUUAAAAAUUUAUUUUUGUUGGGGCGACAAAGAAUCUUAACAUUCUUAACUUAUAAGACGUAUUUUUUAAUGGGUAAAUAAACUACCUAAGGGAUAACAGCAUAAUCUUUAAUAGGUUUGUGACCUCGAUGUUGGACUAGGAAGCUUAUAGGCUAGCCGCCUAUAAUGGGAGAUUCUGUUCGAAU
rnacentral:rRNA from 1 species